rnacentral:rRNA from 1 species
GUGGGGAAUAUUGGACAAUGGGCGAAAGCCUGAUCCAGCCAUGCCGCGUGUGUGAAGAAGGUCUUCGGAUUGUAAAGCACUUUAAGUUGGGAGGAAGGGCAGUAAGUUAAUACCUUGCUGUUUUGACGUUACCGACAGAAUAAGCACCGGCUAACUUCGUGCCAGCAGCCGCGGUAAUACGAAGGGUGCAAGCGUUAAUCGGAAUUACUGGGCGUAAAGCGCGCGUAGGUGGUUUUGUAAGUUGGAGGUGAAAUCCCCGGGCUCAACCUGGGAACUGCCUCCAAAACUGCAUGACUAGAGUACGUAGAGGGUAGUGGAAUUUCCUGUGUAGCGGUGAAAUGCGUAGAUAUAGGAAGGAACACCAGUGGCGAAGGCGACUACCUGGACUGAUACUGACACUGAGGUGCGAAAGCGUGGGGAGCAAACAGGAUUAGAUACCCUAGUAGUCC